AGGUGCUUAUUCACAGGGACUAAAUGAACACAUUUUUGGGAGACUUGGCUUUAAAAUGUCAUUUGAUGUUGCAUUUCAGAGCGAGCUGAGUUCAGUUUUAUUGUUUGUUUGUUUUUUGUUUUUCCUAUACCUGCAGUGGAGGGAGGAUCCUCAAGGAGACUGGAUAGCAAGACUGCGGAUAACUAUGAUUCUCUGUGGAUAAUCUGGGAAAUGUCUGUGGAUAUGGGAAGACUGUUGAUUAACCGUGGAUAAACAGGACUGUUUUUAAGAAAUGCCGAGACGCAGCAGAGGAAGCUGGCGUGGGGCGGCUUCUAGACUGGCGCCGGCUGAGGGUCCUUGUCUCCUACCCUUCUGUCAGCCAUCCAAUGGACUGUCCCUGUCAGCUCCUUGUCCCUGUUGGUCUUGGGACCUUCCAGUGCCACCUCUGAGAAGCUCUGAGUUACCUGGGAAAGUUCUAAGAUUUGCUCUGGGCUGCACCAGGAUGGGGGCCCAUUACUGCCUGGAGCUUCUUCAUAGCCUCCUCAUGUCUGAAGCAGGGAAUAUACAUUGUCUUAGACACCUCUUUUACUCUUCCUAACAUGCGGCUAUGACCUGACCUAAGCUUUAUAGCUCUUAAGAAGCAACUUUAAUAAAAUAUAAUCUGCACAUCCCACUA